AUUGAACGCUGGCGGCAUGCCUUACACAUGCAAGUCGAACGGCAGCACGGGAGCUUGCUCCUGGUGGCGAGUGGCGAACGGGUGAGUAAUGCAUCGGAACGUGCCCUGAGGUGGGGGAUAACGUAGCGAAAGUUACGCUAAUACCGCAUAUUCUGUGAGCAGGAAAGCAGGGGAUCUUCGGACCUUGCGCUUUUGGAGCGGCCGAUGUCGGAUUAGCUAGUUGGUGGGGUAAAGGCCCACCAAGGCGACGAUCCGUAGCGGGUCUGAGAGGAUGAUCCGCCACACUGGAACUGAGACACGGUCCAGACUCCUACGGGAGGCAGCAGUGGGGAAUUUUGGACAAUGGGCGCAAGCCUGAUCCAGCCAUGCCGCGUGAGUGAAGAAGG
rnacentral:rRNA from 1 species